GGGUGCGAUCAUUCCAACACUAAUGCACCGGAUCCAAUGAGAACUCCGCAGUUAAGCGUGCCAGGGCGAGAGUAGUACUAGGAUGGGUGACCCCCUACGAAGUUCUCGUGUUGCAACCC